rnacentral:lncRNA from 1 species
GGCAGAGACCGGGAGAGGGAGGGAGGGAGGAGGGAGGAGGCGGAGACCGGGAGAGGGAGAGGGCGACUGGGAGACCGGGAGAGGAGGCGGAGGAGGCGGAAGAGGAGGCUAGGGUUUUUCUACUGUCGAGCGCAAGUUAAACCCGACAACUUUAGCCGACGAAAUUAUUAUUUCUUCGGCUAAAGCUAAGAAUCUCGUCGGCUAAACCUUCAAAAUUCGUCGGCUAAACCUUUGAAAUUCGUCGGCUAACCUUUGAAAUUCAUCAGCUAAAGUACUUUUAUACAUUUGGCACAUUGUGAUUGUGAUGAUCAAACUUGAGAAACAGAAAUCCGACCUUCAUAUCUGACCAUGACAAAAUACAUGUAUGGGCAAAAAUUCAACUUGAUCCGACAAGAAUAAGGGCUCGAUCCGGACGGUCAAUCUCGUAAGUCAAACCCCUAAACGCACGAAAAAGGUCGUUCGACCGUCUAAAUUACGUAUUUUGCCCGGACCUUCAACUGAAAAUAGUUUUAAAUCGAUGACACACAACAAGUCGUAUAAAAAUUUUACGCAAAAUAACCACCAAAGAUAGGGCUACUCAUAGGGGGAAAGAAUGAAAAAUUGUAUUGACCGCAACUAUCGGCACCGAAUAUUUACCGGAAUAGUGUGAUUUUUCAACCGUGGAUGUAUUUCAACAUUCUCGUCAUAUCUUAUUUCACGACUUUUUGGUGUUUGAAGGUUUUACGUAUAGUUUGUUUUUGAAAAGGAACAUUUACAUAACACUUGGUAAACAAGUUAUACAACAUUAGUAGACAUGUUGUGAUUGUGAUGAUCCAACUUGAGAAACAGAAAUCCUACCGUCAGAUCUGACCAUCAUGACAAAAUACAUGUAUGGGAAAAAAUUCAACUUGAUCCGACAAGGUUAAGAGCUCGAUCCGGACAAUCAAUCCCGUAAGUCAAACCCCUAAACGCACGGAAAAGGUCGUUCGACCGUCUAAAUUACGUAUUUUGGCCGGACCUCCAACUGAAAAUAGUUUCAAACCGAUGAGACGCAAGAAGUCGUCUAAAAAUUUGACGGAAAAUAACCACCGAAGAUAGGGCUAUAGUAUGUAAUAGAAAAAUUUUAGGUUUAGCCGACGAAUACCCUAACAUAUUCGUCGGCUAUAGUAUGUAAUUAAAAAAUUAAAAANN